rnacentral:rRNA from 1 species
UAGCAAUACGAUGGAAAGUUUAGUGGCGAACGGGUGCUUAACACGUGGGCAACCUGCCAGGAAGUGGGGGAUAGCUCGCCGAAAGGCGAAUUAAUACCGCAUGUGAUUAGAGAGGACAUCCUUUCGAAAUUAAAGUCGGGGCAACCUGACGCUUCUUGUGGGGCCCGCGGCCUAUCAGCUAGUUGGUGAGGUAAUGGCUCACCAAGGCUUUGACGGGUAGCUGGUCUGAGAGGACGACCAGCCACACUGGGACUGAGACACGGCCCAGACACCUACGGGUGGCAGCAGUCGAGAAUUUUUGACAAUGGGGGAAACCCUGAUCGAGCGACGCCGCGUAGAGGAUGAAGGUCUUCGGAUUGUAAACUCCUGUCAUUGGGGAACAAUGCACAGAUAUUAACUGUAUUUGUGUUGAUAGUACCCGAAGAGGAAGAGACGGCUAACUCUGUGCCAGCAGCCGCGGUAAUACAGAGGUCUCAAGCGUUGUUCGGAUUCAUUGGGCGUAAAGGGUGCGUAGGCGGCGCGGUAAGUCGGGUGUGAAAUCUCGGAGCUUAACUUCGAAACUGCAUUCGAUACUGCCGUGCUUGAGGACUGGAGAGGAGACUGGAAUUCACGGUGUAGCA